UUCGGGUAGUUUAUUUAGAAUUAUAAUUUGUGGUGUUAUAGGUGAAGUUUUUCCUCGAGUC
rnacentral:tRNA from 1 species